rnacentral:tRNA from 1 species
GAGUCAUUAGCUCAGUUGGUAGAGCAGUGGUCUUUUAAACCAUUGGUCUGGGGUUCAAAUCCCCAAUGGCUCA